AUUUCACUAAGCGCCUAAGGAUCAGCACAGCUUGGAAUAAUGGAAUAGGACCGCGGUUCUAUUUUGUUGG